AUUUGCAGUUAUAACAAUCACUAUUCUCUAAACAAUCAAUGGUUAAGAAAGUUUGGAUCAGAGUGUUGAUAAUUCUCUGGUUCAAUCAGCAUGUUGGAGUUUCAAUGUUUUGCAUGUAGAUGGAUCUUUUUCAUUUGCAGUGAGGGGGCAUUGUAAACAUAUUGCUACACUGGGCUAAGGUGUGCUUUCGUGUCUUCCUAUUAUCCACGUGGGAAACCACUUCUUUUGAUUUAAAUGUGUUCAAAAGCCAUCAUGGUGGGGAGAUGCUGCUACAGAUGAGCCAGUCAUUGGUGGAGGAGAGCAUGAGCUCCUUGGAGGUGAUAUAUUUCCACACAGGAUGAUUAGCAAAUCCUCUCUGUUAAUAAUUUACGAUCAUUGAGCUACACAGGCUAACAGCUCUUUAUUGCGCCUUUGAUGUCCAGUUUGAAUUCCUAUCUCAUAGCUCUACUGACAGAUAACUAGAUUUUAUUUGUGAAGUCUAGAGACACCUGGGGUAGUCAUUUGGAAAGGGACCCACAGUGGCAGACCUUGUUGUCU